UCUAGCAGUAAUAGCGCGGUAGUACCACCUGAAUUAUUUAUUUAAAUAAGAUUCCAUACCGAACUCAGAAGUGAAAUGCCGUAGUGCCAAUGGUAGUGUGAGGAUUCCUCAUGUGAGAGUAGGGAACUGCUAGAC
rnacentral:rRNA from 1 species